rnacentral:rRNA from 1 species
UUGAGCAUCAAACUUUUAAAUUGAAGAGUUUGAUCAUGGCUCAGAUUGAACGCUGGCGGCAGGCCUAACACAUGCAAGUCGAACGGUAACAGGAAACAGCUUGCUGUUUCGCUGACGAGUGGCG